rnacentral:rRNA from 1 species
UACGGAGGGUGCAAGCGUUAUCCGGAUUUACUGGGUUUAAAGGGUGCGUAGGUGGGCUUGUAAGUCAGUGGUGAAAUCUCCGAGCUUAACUCGGAAACUGCCAUUGAUACUAUAGGUCUUGAAUUAUCUGGAGGUAAGCGGAAUAUGUCAUGUAGCGGUGAAAUGCUUAGAUAUGACAUAGAACACCAAUUGCGAAGGCAGCUUACUACGGAUAUAUUGACACUGAGGCACGAAAGCGUGGGGAUCAAACAGG